rnacentral:tRNA from 1 species
UAUAAUUUGGCAGAAUUAUGCGGAAAAUUUAGGGUUUUUUUAUACUUAAUUGUAAUUAUAU